rnacentral:rRNA from 1 species
GUCUGUAAUGACGCUGAGGCUCGAAGCGUGGGGAGCAAACAGGAUUAGAUACCCUGGUAGUCCACGCGUAAACGAUGAGUGCUAAGUGUUGGAGGGUUUCCCCCUUCAGUGCUGCAGUUAACGCAUUAAGCACUCCGCUGGGGAGUACGGCCGCAAGGCUGAAACUCAAAGGAAUUGACGGGGGCCCGCACAAGCGGUGGAGCAUGUGGUUUAAUCCGAAGCAACGCGAAGAACCUUACCAGGUCUUGACAUCCUUUGACCACUCUAGAGAUAGAGCUUUCCCUUCGGGGACAAAGUGACAGGUGGUGCAUGGUUGUCGUCAGCUCGUGUCGUGAGAUGUUGGGUUAAGUCCCGCAACGAGCGCAACCCUUAUUGUUAGUUGCCAUCAUUCAGUUGGGCACUCUAGCGAGACUGCCGGUGACAAACCGGAGGAAGGUGGGGAUGACGUCAAAUCAUCAUGCCCCUUAUGACCUGGGCUACACACGUGCUACAAUGGACAGUACAAUGAGCAGCGACACGGCGACGUGAAGCGAAUCUCAUAAAGCUGUUCUCAGUUCGGAUUGUAGGCUGCAACUCGCCUACAUGAAGCCGGAAUCGCUAGUAAUCGCGGAUCAGCACGCCGCGGUGAAUACGUUCCCGGGCCUUGUACACACCGCCCGUCACACCACGAAAGUUUGUAACACCCAAAGUCGGUGAGGUAACCUUCGGGAGCCAGCCGCCUAAGGUGGGAUAGAUGAUUGGGGUGAAGUCGUAACAAGGUAACCA